GCGGGCAUGGCGGAAUUGGCAGACGCGCAAGAUUUAGGAUCUUGUAUCGAAGAUAUGCAGGUUCGAUCCCUGUUGCCCGCACCA
rnacentral:tRNA from 1 species